rnacentral:rRNA from 1 species
UGAGGAACAUGACCUUCGGCGGGGGAUAGCCGGCCCAACGGCCGGGUAAUACCGCGUACGACCACAUGGGGACAUCCCUGGGUGGUGAAAGCAGCAAUGCGCCGAUGGAGUGCCUCGCGGCCUAUCAGCUAGUUGGUGGGGUAAUGGCUCACCAAGGCGACGACGGGUAGCUGGUCUGAGAGGAUGGCCAGCCACAUUGGGACUGAGACACGGCCCAGACUCCGUAGGGACGG